GCUUUGCAUUAGCCCCCACCCCCGCGCCCCUCGCAGCCGCAUUGCAAGUUUUCUGCGCGAGGAAAAUCUGUUGCUGGUGCUGGCGUUCGCACCAGCCCCGAGGCCACCCCGGGUGGGGUGUGUGGGGAGCACCAGCCGUUCGCAGCGGCAGCAACAGGAAGCCGUGGGGUCUCCUCCCGCACCUGGGAAGGAGGGUUCUUGCCCUUCCCAGAGCGGGAAUAGCUCGUCUCCCGCAUCCGGUGGUAAUCGCCGCUCGGGAAUGCGGGUGUAAAGGGUCCGAGCUGCCGCCCAGCGGGAAAGAGACCCCGGGACGCCGGAAAUCACCAUCCAGAAGCCGUGAGAAGGGGGAGGGAAGAGAGCAUUCUUCAUUCAGUUUGUGUGCCUUGUGGGGAUUUUUUUUUUAAAUCGUUAUAUUUUUUUU